CAGAGAAAGAUUACCAACGUGCAUUGCUUGGAUCCCUUUAAAUCUCUGAAGGCUGAAGUGCUUCCCUUGCUCGCUUCUGUUCUUAAGAAGACGAUCUUUCCUCUCCUUUUCCUCCCUGCCUCGCUUCACACAACUAACAGAGGAAUUAAUUCACACACAGCCCCUCAGCCAGAUGCAUAUAUGUAUGAAAUACCGAAGAUAGCAUCUCUGUUUGCAAAUCUUCCACUCCCCUACACGUGGUCUGAGGUUUCAGUAGAAAGCACUCACCAGAAGACCUACUGCAGUUAUUCCACUCAACUGCCAAUAACGGCUGGAGCCCCUCGCAUCAGGGUAAUGCAGCAAUCCUGAAAGUACCCAUUUCAACCACACGCCACCAAGUUUAGCAAUGCCGGGCUUUUGCCUGGAUAAAAUGACCUUACCCACAGGAGUCUCCCGACAGAUCCCUCCGGUGCGAUCAGUCAGCGAGGCGAGUGCCGGUCACCACACUGCGCACUCGCCCGGAGAAGCCCCGUGUUUACUCCUGGGGCUGAGCUGGCCGCGAGUGCCGCGGACGCGGCGCCCAUCCAUCCGCCGCUGCCAGCUCCGCCGCGGGCGCAGGUAAUUCCAUACAGACUUCGGCGGCCCCCCCCGCCCCCCGCCCCGAGUCGCCCCUUCCUUCUUAGUUCAGAAAGUGCCCGCGUCGCCGGCGGGAGGUACCAUCCAGGUGCGGUGGGGGGUGUGGGGGGGGUCGGGGGGUGGAGGGGAGAGAGAGGAGGGGGCGGCCGGCCUGGGGGAGGGGGGCCGCCGCGCCUCCCGCGGGCAGCUCCGCGCCCCGCGCUGCCGCCGCGGGCCGGAUCCGGGCUGCCGCGCUCAAGUCUUCGGCGAGCGGCGGGCCGGCGGGGUUUCCUGGUGCCGGGCGGCUGUGGGGAAAGCGCUGCGGCGGGGGGUGGGGGGGGGGUGGCGGGGGCGGGUGCUUGCCGGGUCCUAGCACCCUCGCUACCACGCCACAAGAUUU